AGUACUGGAAUGAUGAACAAUAAACGUUUCACUAUCUAUCAUAAAACAAUUUUGGAUUCUUUUCAUUUUUGAUGUAAACGGAUAAAAUUGAUAAUUAUUGUACAAAUACAAAAUAUCAUUUGAAUCUGUUACAUAAAUAUUAUUAUCAUCAAUAAAAAUAUUUUUGAUAGUAUUUUCAACAAUUGUAUUUACAGUGGAUAUAUUACUAUUACUUUUAUUUAAAAUUACGGGAAUUGACAUUUUAGUAUAUGUAGAGUGUAUAUAAUUAUCACUAUAUUUAAAACUUUAAGUUUUACAU
rnacentral:sRNA from 2 species